rnacentral:misc_RNA from 1 species
GAUGAAGAACGUAGCGAAAUGCGAUAAGUAAUGUGAAUUGCAGAAUUCAGUGAAUCAUCGAACCUUUGAACGCACAUUGCGCCCGCCAGUAUUCUGGCGGGCAUGCCUGUUCGAGCGUCAUUACAACCCUCCGGCCCCCGGGCCUGGCGUUGGGGAUCGGCGGAGCCCCCCGUGGGCACACGCCGUCCCCCAAAUGCAGUGGCGGUCCCGCCGCAGCUUCCAUCGCGUAGUAGCUAACACCUCGCGACUGGAGAGCGGCGCGGCCACGCCGUAAAACACCCAACUCUUCUGAAGUUGACCUCGAAUCAGGUAGGAAUACCCGCUGAACUUAAGCAUAUCAAUAAGCGGAGGA